rnacentral:rRNA from 1 species
UUAAGCGACUAAGCGUACACGGUGGAUGCCCUGGCAGUCAGAGGCGAUGAAGGACGUGCUAAUCUGCGAAAAGCGUCGGUAAGGUGAUAUGAACCGUUAUAGCCGGCGAUGUCCGAAUGGGGAAACCCAGUGCAAUUCGUUGCACUAUCGUUAACUGAAUAUAUAGGUUAACGAGGCGAACCGGGGGAACUGAAACAUCUAAGUACCCCGAGGAAAAGAAAUCAACCGAGAUUCCCCCAGUAGCGGCGAGCGAACGGGGAGCAGCCCAGAGUCUGAAUCAGCUUGUGUGUUAGUGGAACGGUCUGGAAAGUCCGACGGUACAGGGUGAUAGUCCCGUACACCAAAAUGCACAGGCUGUGAACUCGAAGAGUAGGGCGGGACACGUGGUAUCCUGUCUGAAUAUGGGGGGACCAUCCUCCAAGGCUAAAUACUCCUGACUGACCGAUAGUGAACCAGUACCGUGAGGGAAAGGCGAAAAGAACCCCGGCGAGGGGAGUGAAAAAGAACCUGAAACCGUGUACGUACAAGCAGUGGGAGCACCUUCGGGUGUGACUGCGUACCUUUUGUAUAAUGGGUCAGCGACUUAUAUUCUGUAGCAAGGUUAACCGUAUAGGGGAGCCGCAGGGAAACCGAGUCUUAACUGGGCGUUAAGUUGCAGGGUAUAGACCCGAAACCCGGUGAUCUAGCCAUGGGCAGGUUGAAGGUUGGGUAACACUAACUGGAGGACCGAACCGACUAAUGUUGAAAAAUUAGCGGAUGACUUGUGGCUGGGGGUGAAAGGCCAAUCAAACCGGGAGAUAGCUGGUUCUCCCCGAAAGCUAUUUAGGUAGCGCCUCGUGAACUCAUCUUCGGGGGUAGAGCACUGUUUCGGCUAGGGGGUCAUCCCGACUUACCAACCCGAUGCAAACUACGAAUACCGAAGAAUGUUAUCACGGGAGACACACGGCGGGUGCUAACGUCCGUCGUGAAGAGGGAAACAACCCAGACCGCCAGCUAAGGUCCCAAAGUCAUGGUUAAGUGGGAAACGAUGUGGGAAGGCACAGACAGCCAGGAUGUUGGCUUAGAAGCAGCCAUCAUUUAAAGAAAGCGUAAUAGCUCACUGGUCGAGUCGGCCUGCGCGGAAGAUGUAACGGGGCUAAACCAUGCACCGAAGCUGCGGCAGCGACACUAUGUGUUGUUGGGUAGGGGAGCGUUCUGUAAGCCUGCGAAGGUGUGCUGUGAGGCAUGCUGGAGGUAUCAGAAGUGCGAAUGCUGACAUAAGUAACGAUAAAGCGGGUGAAAAGCCCGCUCGCCGGAAGACCAAGGGUUCCUGUCCAACGUUAAUCGGGGCAGGGUGAGUCGACCCCUAAGGCGAGGCCGAAAGGCGUAGUCGAUGGGAAACAGGUUAAUAUUCCUGUACUUGGUGUUACUGCGAAGGGGGGACGGAGAAGGCUAUGUUAGCCGGGCGACGGUUGUCCCGGUUUAAGCAUGUAGGCUGAUUGUCCAGGCAAAUCCGGAUAAUCAAGGCUGAGGUGUGAUGACGAGGCACUACGGUGCUGAAGUAACAAAUGCCCUGCUUCCAGGAAAAGCCUCUAAGCAUCAGGUAACAUCAAAUCGUACCCCAAACCGACACAGGUGGUCAGGUAGAGAAUACCAAGGCGCUUGAGAGAACUCGGGUGAAGGAACUAGGCAAAAUGGUGCCGUAACUUCGGGAGAAGGCACGCUGGUGUGUAGGUGAAGCCCCUGCGGGUGGAGCUGAGACCAGUCGAAGAUACCAGCUGGCUGCAACUGUUUAUUAAAAACACAGCACUGUGCAAACACGAAAGUGGACGUAUACGGUGUGACGCCUGCCCGGUGCCGGAAGGUUAAUUGAUGGGGUUAUCCGUAAGGAGAAGCUCUUGAUCGAAGCCCCGGUAAACGGCGGCCGUAACUAUAACGGUCCUAAGGUAGCGAAAUUCCUUGUCGGGUAAGUUCCGACCUGCACGAAUGGCGUAAUGAUGGCCAGGCUGUCUCCACCCGAGACUCAGUGAAAUUGAACUCGCUGUGAAGAUGCAGUGUACCCGCGGCAAGACGGAAAGACCCCGUGAACCUUUACUAUAGCUUGACACUGAACAUUGAGCCUUGAUGUGUAGGAUAGGUGGGAGGCUUUGAAGCGUGGACGCCAGUCUGCGUGGAGCCAACCUUGAAAUACCACCCUUUAAUGUUUGAUGUUCUAACGUUGGCCCCUUACCGGGGUUGCGGACAGUGUCUGGUGGGUAGUUUGACUGGGGCGGUCUCCUCCCAAAGCGUAACGGAGGAGCACGAAGGUUAGCUAAUCCUGGUCGGACAUCAGGAGGUUAGUGCAAUGGCAUAAGCUAGCUUGACUGCGAGCGUGACGGCGCGAGCAGGUGCGAAAGCAGGUCAUAGUGAUCCGGUGGUUCUGAAUGGAAGGGCCAUCGCUCAACGGAUAAAAGGUACUCCGGGGAUAACAGGCUGAUACCGCCCAAGAGUUCAUAUCGACGGCGGUGUUUGGCACCUCGAUGUCGGCUCAUCACAUCCUGGGGCUGAAGUAGGUCCCAAGGGUAUGGCUGUUCGCCAUUUAAAGUGGUACGCGAGCUGGGUUUAGAACGUCGUGAGACAGUUCGGUCCCUAUCUGCCGUGGGCGCUGGAGAAUUGAGGGGGGCUGCUCCUAGUACGAGAGGACCGGAGUGGACGCAUCACUGGUGUUCGGGUUGUCAUGCCAAUGGCACUGCCCGGUAGCUAAAUGCGGAAGAGAUAAGUGCUGAAAGCAUCUAAGCACGAAACUUGCCCCGAGAUGAGUUCUCCCUGAGACUUUAAGUCUCCUGAAGGAACGUUAAAGACGAUGACGUUGAUAGGCCGGGUGUGUAAGCGCAGCGAUGCGUUGAGCUAACCGGUACUAAUGAACCGUGAGGCUUAACCUU